AUCCCAGUUCGGAUUGCAGGCUGCAACCCGCCUGUAUGAAGUUGGAAUCGCUAGUAAUCGCGGAUCAGCAUGCCGCGGUGAAUACGUUCCCGGGCCUUGUACACACCGCCCGUCACACCAUGAGAGUCGGGAACACCCGAAGUCCGUAGCCUAACCGCAAGGAGGGCGCGGCCGAAGGUGGGUUCGAUAAUUGGGGUGAAGUCGUAACAAGGUAGC
rnacentral:rRNA from 1 species